UGGUGUAACAAAUCUGUUAAGGAAGCAAAUAAAAAGAAUUUGGUUUGCUAACUGCCUGAAGUUUAGAAAGUUCUGGUUUUCACUUUACGAUUUGCAAAGCAUAAAGCCAUUUCCUUGUUAAAUUCAGAUGAAUUCUUCAGUAUUUCUUCUCUUUUAAUGAAUUCAUUUUGAUGCUUAUUUCCUAUAACCAAGAAGGCAGUAGAACAGAAAUAAGUCUUUUAAGUUUGAAGCUUGUGCUAAUAAUCAGAUAAAGUUCACUUUCUUCUGAUUUAAGUGAUAUAUAAAUAAAAUAUCCAUUUUAAAUUAGAUUGGCAACUUAAAAAAUCACUUUGAACAAUUUGUUAGUAUUUUUGGUUCCCUUUGAUAGAAUUGUUUUUCCUUUACACGUUUUUACUGCAAAAUGAAGGAUAGACUUGAACUAAAUUGAUCAACUUGUAUUUGAUCUUCACGGGAAUUACAUCUCUUUUCACUCAACAUUUAUUAAAGAAAUAUGAAAACCAGUUGUGGUGGCAUGUGCCUGUAGUCCCAGCUACUUAGAGACAGGAGGAUCGCUUGAGCCCAGGAGUUCAAGGCUAGCCUGGGCAACAUAGUGAGAUCCCGUCUUAGAAAGGAACACAGAAAAUUCCAGUCUAUAGCAAAUUCUUGGCUUGACUAAGAGCUGAUUUUCACUAAGGAACAGAACUUGUAAUUCAUUUCCACACGUUAAGACACAGUUCAUCCCUAUUAAAAUUUGUUUAUUCUGAAACUACACCCUUGUCACCUAAUGUUAUGUCCUUCCUAGUUUACUAUGUCUGACCUUCAAGAUUUCGUGCCUGCUGCUGAAAUGGAAACCAGCCAGUACAGAAAACUGGGGAAAAAUGACAUCUGAAGAAUGCAAGGGGAAAUAGGAACUCAUUUCUAGCAUUUUCAAAUCAGCUUUGUCUACUCCACUACAGUCAGAGGAAAAGAACUGACUUCAUGGAAUUUACCAGCUAAGCCUUACCACUGUUUUUAGUGUUUUUAGGAAAUAUACUAAAAGGUAAGUGAAUUGUAUGUUUUGAAGAAUGAUUGCUAGGUAUGGUAAAACCAGUUGUUCCAUUUUAGUAAAGGUCAGCAGCUCCUUUAUUCUAAGCCUCAAAUUCUUGCCCAUAUUUGGUGUGUUAACAGUAUUGUGGAGAAGGUGAACUUAUGCAACAUGGACGUUUUUCUCCACUUCUCAGCAACUAAGCUGGAACUUAGGUUGAAGUAUACACGGUGCUGAUUUUUGCUGUUUUGUGCUUAAAUUUUUUUUUAAAUUAUUUCAGUUGAGUUUUAGUUUUAUCCCUCAUUAUAUAGAAAAAGGCUUUAAUGUUUCAAAGGUCCUAUCAAGCAUUGUAUAUACAUUAGCUUUUGACAAAUAAGAGCAACAUUAAGGAUUUUUAUUAACAUCCACCAAUAUAUGGUUUUAAUAAAUGAUUUAAAAUUACCUGAAAUAAAUUAUUCCACAUUAAUUAUAUACCUAUGUAUGCCAGGCCCUGAAUACAAAGAUGAACUAAUAUACCCAGUUCAUGUCCUCACAGAGUUCAGUUUUAUUGAUACACUACAGAUAGAAGUUUAGUUUGAGGAAACAAAAUCUGAUAAAAUGAGGCUAAUUCCAUAUCCUCAUCAACAAUCCACUCUAAUAACUAGUAUGUUAAUCUGAAUGUGACAUAUUCUAUAAGAAAACCUCCAUUUGUGUGUGCAUGUGAGCUGAACAUUUACCAAUACUUUGUAUGUGUGGGUUCAUCACAGGUUUAAUCCUCACAUCUGUGCUAUGAGGUAGGUGUUAUUUUCUCAGGCAAGCAUAAAAGCUAACUAACUUGGCCUAAGUUUGCAUGACUGAUGUAGGACUGAUACUUAAACACAGGUAGACUGAUAGCAGAACAUGCACUCUUAAGUUAGAUGUGAUAUUUAUAUGCAGUUCCUGGCUAUAAAACAUGCACAGUUCUUAAUAAAAUAUGCCUCCUUUUAAAAAAGGAAAUCACAAAUAGCUUAGAAAAUUAGAAAUAUAAUAGAAUCUGGGGUUUUAGAGAGCCAGAAAAUCAGAAACUUUUUCUUCCCCGAUUCAAAGAUAGUUUGUAUGCUGACCUUACCUCUUUGCCCCAGACACAAAAUUCAGUGGAACAGAAGGAGGAUAUUUAUAUUCAUGUAAUAUAAUAUUAUAUAAAAUACAUUUACACAUAUAAACUUCUUUAAGUGCUAAAUUAUGAGAAAAUACCACUGCUGAGACUUUCCUUAGGACUCUUUUUAAAAAAUAGGUUAAGACUUUUUGUGCAAAAGUGAAGAAAAACUUCUGAGAAACCCAGGUAGGUAAUUUAUCCCCUGUUGUAUGCAAAGCCUCUGCGCUUCUGUCCUUUAUUGUUUUAUACUUCUGUAAAUCUGAUUUUACCUUUAAUAAAC
rnacentral:lncRNA from 1 species